UAUAACUUCAUAGUUCACAAAAUGAAAAUAUGUGCAGUGACAUAAAAGAAAAAAAUCGCGUAAAUGUUGUUUUCGUUGUUGACUCGGUUCGGUUCUCAGUGCUCGGUAAACGUCAGUGAUGCGAAGCUUGCAAUGCAUUGUUGUUCUUUUAUGUUAAAUCAAUGUUGCUUGUAAAUAAACCAGCAAACAUGCUGUGGCAUGUUAAAAUAGCAUGAUUUUUAUUGUUUUAAGUGAACUAAAAUGUUUGUGAUUAAAUUUUGAUACAUACACUAUGUAGUGUAUGUGUUUCAAAAGGUUUAUGAGUGCAAAUGAAGAAAGUGAGUGCUGUUAAAAGUAUAUUCGAUAAAAUUGCAUUAAAAUGUGACAACAUAAUAACAUUACUGUUGUUCCGUUUUCCAACGCACAACAAACACACAUUCAAUGUGGCACCUUCACAGCCACUUCUGCAGAGCUGCUCAUCUAAGGUUACACAACAAAUAGGAAGAAGAAUAACAAAUAAUAACGAACGCAGAAUUGCUGUUGUUGUUGGUGUUUCCUUAGCAGAGUUUUCAUGGAGACUAGUGGGUGGACAAAGCGUUGGAUAUAGCGGCAUAAAUCAAAUCAAAGCAGUAAACGGAGGAAGCUUCUACUUUACUAUAUAGUACAUAUAUUAAGGUAUUUUGAUAUCAGAAUGGGAGCUGAUUGUAAGUUAAUUUGAUGCCUUAAGACUACUAGUAUUAGUAUCAGUAGUAUCAAGAUAAUGACCAGCCCCUACUGUAUCAUUGUAUUUAUCAGAAUACUAAUAACAUUCUCCUGUCAACAAUUAUCUCUAUUUUCUUUUCUGCUUGAUGAAAGAGGACAACAAUAGAUCAACCAUAAGCUAAUCCAAGGCCAUAAAUAUUCCUACAAUGUUUUUUUGACAUUCAAAUCGGACAAUAUAUUACGACGUUCGUGUGGCUACGACACUUAUGUUUUUGAGAAGUGUUAAGUUUCAACGAUGCAGUAUUCGAAAAGUUGUUAGAAAAUAAAAGGAAAUUAAUAUUUUAUUCAAACAACAAACAGCAAAGAAUCAACUUAAGUGGGGAUACCUCUAAAACCGUCAGAAAAGAGAAAGCCUGAAUUAUUGCAGCAGUGGAGAACAUUUUAGUUUUUGCUCCGUCGGAGAUCUCAUAUAAUUCAAAAAAUAUUUAAUUUUCAAUUAAAAAAUUCGGUGUGUCAUCUUGAAAUAUGUAUGCUUUUUAGGCUGUCCAAGAGCUAUACUCCUGAAGAUAUUAUUAAGACUAUUGUGCUCCCAAUAAAAUUGCUUUUAUAUGUAUAUGUAUGUAUAUAAAAUUGAAUGUAUGU